GCCUGGGUAGCUCAGUCAGUAGAGCAUCAGACUUUUUUUAAUCUGAGGGUCCAGGGUUCAAGUCCCUGUUCAGGUG
rnacentral:tRNA from 1 species